rnacentral:lncRNA from 1 species
CAUGGGGACAGGUUUUGGAGCCAAGUAAUUGAGCCUUUGGUUAUGGAGUAAGUGCGAAGUUGUGGUAAGAUUAGCAAUCUGCCGUUGCUGUUGUUGUUGCUGGAGAUGAAUUUGGGCUUGGAUUUGAAGGAUUUGAGAAGGGGUGAGGUGGUUAAGCCCUAUUGAACCUGUUUGCUCAAAACCCAUCUGGUUAUAAUUAGAUGGGGAGCUAAAAUCAGAGUAAAAAUUGGGCUGCGACGAGAUUGGAGAGUCAUAAGAGCAAGAAGGGUAAGAGGAGAAAGAAGAAGAUGAAGAAGGAGAAGCAGAGGGAGAUGGUGAAGUAUAAGAAGGGGAGGUUGAUGACGCACUUUUCAUAAAAGGUUCAAGUGCUUUCAUGAGUUCUUCUCUACAAGGAUCUAUAAUUGAGAAACCUGGUGUUACGCUGCUAUUGUAGAAAUCUAUAGCUGCUGCCAUACCUUUU